rnacentral:rRNA from 1 species
UACGAAGGGGGCUAGCGUUGUUCGGAUUUACUGGGCGUAAAGCGCACGUAGGCGGAUUGUUAAGUCAGGGGUGAAAUCCUGGAGCUCAACUCCAGAACUGCCUUUGAUACUGGCAAUCUUGAGUCCGGAAGAGGUGAGUGGAACUCCUAGUGUAGAGGUGGAAUUCGUAGAUAUUAGGAAGAACACCAGUGGCGAAGGCGGCUCACUGGUCCGGUACUGACGCUGAGGUGCGAAAGCGUGGGGAGCGAACAGG